UACGUAGGGGGCAAGCGUUGUCCGGAAUCAUUGGGCGUAAAGAGCGUGUAGGCGGCUUGGUAAGUCCGCUGUGAAAGUCCAGGGCUCAACCCUGGAAUGCCGGUGGAAACUGUCAAGCUUGAGUCCGGAAGAGGCGAGCGGAAUUCCUGGUGUAGCGGUGAAAUGCGCAGAUAUCAGGAGGAACGCCAAUGGCGAAGGCAGCUCGCUGGGACGGUACUGACGCUGAGACGCGAAAGCGUGGGGAGCAAACAGG
rnacentral:rRNA from 1 species